GGUAUAGACCCGAAACCCGGUGAUCUAGCCAUGGGCAGGUUGAAGGUUGGGUAACACUAACUGGAGGACCGAACCGACUAAUGUUGAAAAAUUAGCGGAUGACCUGUGGCUGGGGGUGAAAGGCCAAUCAAACCGGGAGAUAGCUGGUUCUCCCCGAAAGCUAUUUAGGUAGCGCCUCGUGAAUUCAUCUCCGGGGGUAGAGCACUGUUUCGGCUAGGGGGCCAUCCCGGCUUACCAACCCGAUGCAAACUGCGAAUACCGGAGAAUGUUAUCACGGGAGACACACGGCGGGUGCUAACGUCCGUCGUGAAGAGGGAAACAACCCAGACCGCCAGCUAAGGUCCCAAAGUCAUGGUUAAGUGGGAAACGAUGUGGGAAGGCCCAGACAGCCAGGAUGUUGGCUUAGAAGCAGCCAUCAUUUAAAGAAAGCGUAAUAGCUCACUGGUCGAGUCGGCCUGCGCGGAAGAUGUAACGGGGCUAAACCAUGCACCGAAGCUGCGGCAGCGACACUGUGUGUUGUUGGGUAGGGGAGCGUUCUGUAAGCCUGUGAAGGUGUGUCGUGAGGCAUGCUGGAGGUAUCAGAAGUGCGAA
rnacentral:rRNA from 1 species